rnacentral:rRNA from 1 species
AACUAGAGGAUGCGAGAGGUCUAGGGAACUCAAGGUGUAGGGGUGAAAUCCGUUGAUAUCUUGGGGAACACCAAAAGCGAAGGCACUAGACUGGCGCACUCCUGACACUGAAACACGAAAGCGUGGGUAGCGAAUGGGAUUAGAUACCCCAGUAGUCCACGCCCUAAACGAUGUUCAUUAGCUAUUCGGAGUAUCGACUCUCUGAGUGGCGUAGCUAACGCGUUAAAUGAACCGCCUGGGUAGUACGGCCGCAAGGCUAAAACUCAAAGGAAUAGACGGGGACUUGCACAAGCAGUGGAUUAUGUGGCUUAAUUCGACGCCAAACGAAGAACCUUACCAGGGUUUGAAACCUACACGCAAGCUUUAGGAAACUUUAGCCCUCGCAAGACGGGUAGGCAGGUGAUGCAUGGCCGUCGUCAGUUCGUGGUUUGAAUUGUUCCCU